AACUUCCUCAAAGGGGAGUAGCUCGGAGGCUCUUCAGCCCCAGGCACGAUCGUCAUGACGAAGCUCACGCUUCCGGUCGUGCCGGCAUCCGCGGGUUCCAGCCUGCCGGUGUCGAGCAAGACCUUUGCAACCGGA
rnacentral:misc_RNA from 1 species